rnacentral:misc_RNA from 1 species
ACGUACGCCUUCACGCCCGCAUCUGUGAUGAGCGACGAAUGACGCCCAAUGACGCUUUUCUUUUGUGUUGCUUACAAGCAGGACGCGUGACCAAAGAAUCAGAGGUGAAGAAGGAUGCCGAAGGCGUUUUUCUUCUCAAGGUGUCUAUUCUCUGCCAUACAGCAUGAGUUGAGGUCCGCUCUACCCCGCCUGUCACAGGCCCCGUCGCGUGAUGCAAAGCAGCGCUGGACACGCUCUACAGCAAUGCGCCAGCUCAGCCAUCGUAGCAGCGCACCUGCCUGAGCCUCAAUUCAGUCCUUGCUUUGCAGGUGGUCACACAGCCGCACCCAUCAUGACAGUCGCCAGGUGGUGCAUCCCGUGGGGGGGGGGCAGGGCCACCCGUCCCUACGCAGUGAUGACCGGGUGAGAGAGGCCCGAGUCGCUUUAACACUUUGCCUAUCAUAUGCGCGGUACAGACGUGUGCGCUGUCGCAGGCCACUCCGACGCCACCCCAUCCAGGACAUGAACGCCGAUAUCACUAGCGACUCGCCACACUGACCUCACGACGCUGUAGGUGCUUGACGGUGCCACCACCUGAGUUGGCUCGGUGCUGGCAGUGAGAGGGGCUGCCUGACUUUCACACCGAGUGGGAGCACUGGAGUCCUGACACCACGCUGAGGUGUCCCUCAUGAUGAAGGCGUGCCAAUGACAGCACUCCCAAAAGUUCCGCUACUGUGUCUGGGGCCAGUGAGGCCUCCGCCGUCCAAAAAAAGGAAACCUACUUGAGGCGCUUCCGUACACGGCUGUUGAUUGUGCGCCGACUGCUUCGACGUCACUGCUUUCCACUGAUCGCCCCGGCUUGCAUGUGCUUCAGCCGCUACCAUCGCCUCUCACAUUGUGCUUCCCCCUCCCCUUUAUUAACCACUCUUCUUUGCUGCCUCGCUGCUCUACAACAG